rnacentral:rRNA from 1 species
AGUGAACGCUGGCGGCAGGCCUAACACAUGCAAGUCGAGCGGCAGCGCGGGGGCAACCCUGGCGGCGAGCGGCGGACGGGUGAGGAAUUCGUCGGAAUCUGCCUUUUUGUGGGGGAUAACGUAGGGAAACUUACGCUAAUACCGCAUACGUCCUACGGGAGAAAGUGGGGGACCGCAAGGCCUCACGCAGAAAGAUGAGCCGACGACCGAUUAGCUAGUUGGUGGGGUAAAGGCCCACCAAGGCGACGAUCGGCAGCUGGUCUGAGAGGAUGAUCAGCCACACUGGGACUGAGACACGGCCCAGACUCCUACGGGAGGCAGCAGUGGGGAAUAUUGGACAAUGGGCGCAAGCCUGAUCCAGCCAUGCCGCGUGUGUGAAGAAGGCCUUCGGGUUGUAAAGCACUUUUGUCCGGAAAGAAAUCCCUGGAGCUAAUACCUUCGGGGGAUGACGGUACCGGAAGAAUAAGCACCGGCUAACUUCGUG